rnacentral:sRNA from 1 species
UCAUAACCAAGCUGCUCCGCAACUACAGGUCUCAUCCCACCAUCCUGGACAUUCCUAACCAGCUCUAUUACGAAGGGGAGCUGCAGGCCUGUGCUGAUGUCGUGGAUCGAGAACGCUUCUGCCGCUGGGCAGGCCUACCUCGACAGGGCUUUCCCAUCAUCUUUCACGGCGUAAUGGGCAAAGAUGAGCGUGAAGGCAACAGCCCAUCCUUCUUCAACCCUGAAGAGGCUGCCACAGUGACUUCUUACCUGAAGCUGCUCCUGGCCCCCUCCUCCAAGAAGGGCAAAGCCCGCCUGAGCCCUCGAAGCGUGGGAGUCAUCUCCCCGUACCGGAAACAGCUCCCUGGCCUCCUGCCAGGCUCCCUCUUGCAUUAGGUUAAU